rnacentral:rRNA from 1 species
GACGAACGCUGGCGGCGUGCUUAACACAUGCAAGUCGAGCGGUAAGGCCCUUUCGGGGGUACACGAGCGGCGAACGGGUGAGUAACACGUGGGUGACCUGCCCUCAGCUCUGGGAUAAGCCUGGGAAACUGGGUCUAAUACUGGAUAUGACUCCACGGUGCAUGUCGUGGGGUGGAAAGCCUUGUGCGGCUGAGGAUGGGCCCGCGGCCUAUCAGCUUGUUGGUGGGGUGANGGCCUACCAAGGCGACGACGGGUAGCCGGCCUGAGAGGGCGACCGGCCACACUGGGACUGAGACACGGGCCCAGACUCCUACGGGAGGCAGCAGUGGGGAAUCUUGCGCAAUGGGCGAAAGCCUGACGCAGCGACGCCGCGUGAGGGAUGACGGCCUGG